rnacentral:rRNA from 1 species
ACCUCAGCSGGGACAGAUUUUAAUUGAAUGCUAAAAGAAUGGAAAUUUAAAAAAAAACUUUUUUAAAAAUAAAAAUUGAAUUUUUUUUAAUUUGGGCAAAAACAAUUAUAUUUAUUAAAGACAAGAAGACCCUAAGAAUUUAAAAUUUUACAAUUAAAAAGUUUUUUUUUAAAAUCUUGAUUGGGGGGAUCAAAAAAUAUUAAUAAUUUUUUAAAAUUUAAAUUGAUCUAUUAUUAAUAAACUAAUGAAUUAAAUACUCUAGGGAUAACAGCGUAAUAAUUUUUGAUAAAUUUUAUUGACAAAAUAGUUUGCGACCUCAAUGUUGGAUUAGGAUUCUUUUUUAAUGAAAAAGUUAAAAAAAAAAGUUUGUUCAACUUUUAAAUUCCUACUUGAUCUGAGUUCAAACCGG